rnacentral:lncRNA from 1 species
AGCUAGUUACCAAGUGAAAAAUCCAAAGUAAAGGUCCUCAGUUCUUACAGUAAAACAUCUCAGAAACCAAAAAUAACCCUUUUCGAAUAAAUUCAGCACCUAUUGAUCCACAUAGUUAAAGAAAACAAAAAGGUACACAGCAAAGAACAAAACUUCAUCAAACAACAAUAAACUUUGGAUCACUAUUACACAGAAACCAAAACCAUUGAAGCAAAAGCACAAAAA